rnacentral:rRNA from 1 species
GAUGAACGCUGGCGGCGUGCCUAAUACAUGCAAGUAGAACGCUGAAGGAAGGAGCUUGCUCUUUCCGGAUGAGUUGCGAACGGGUGAGUAACGCGUAGGUAACCUGCCUGGUAGCGGGGGAUAACUAUUGGAAACGAUAGCUAAUACCGCAUAACAGUAGAUGUUGCAUGAUAUCUACUUAAAAGGUGCAAUUGCACCACUACCAGAUGGACCUGCGUUGUAUUAGCUAGUUGGUGAGGUAACGGCUCACCAAGGCGACGAUACAUAGCCGACCUGAGAGGGUGAUCGGCCACACUGGGACGGAGACACGGCCCAGACUCCUACGGGAGGCAGCAGUAGGGAAUCUUCGGCAAUGGACGGAAGUCUGACCGAGCAACGCCGCGUGAGUGAAGAAGGUUUUCGGAUCGUAAAGCUCUGUUGUAAGAGAAGAGCGAGUGUGAGAGUGGAAAGUUCACACUGUGACGGUAUCUUACCAGAAAGGGACGGCUAACUACGUG